rnacentral:rRNA from 1 species
CGUAGGUGACUGCGGAGGGAUCAUUA